rnacentral:rRNA from 1 species
GACGUAGGGCGCGAGCGUUGUCCGGAUUUAUUGGGCGUAAAGAGCUCGUAGGCGGCUUGUCGCGUCGACUGUGAAAACCCGCGGCUCAACUGCGGGCUUGCAGUCGAUACGGGCAGGCUAGAGUUCGGUAGGGGAGACUGGAAUUCCUGGUGUAGCGGUAGAAAUGCGCAGAGUAGUCAGGAGGGAACGACCGGUGGGCGGAAGGCGGGGUCUCUGG